AUUGAACGCUGGCGGCAGGCUUAACACAUGCAAGUCGAGCGCGCGGAGGACGGGUGAGUAAUGUCUGGGAAACUGCCUGAUGGAGGGGGAUAACUACUGGAAACGGUAGCUAAUACCGCAUAACAUCAGAUGUGCCCAGAUGGGAUUAGCUAGUAGGUGGGGUAAUGGCUCACCUGGGCGACGAGCCCUAGCUGGGCUGAGAGGAUGACCAGCCACACUGGAACUUAGACACGGUCCAGACUCCGACGGGCGGCAGCAGUGGGGAAUAUUGCACAAUGGGCGCAAGCCUAAUGAAGCCAUGCCGCGUGUGUGAAGAAGGCCUUCGGGUUUUAAAGCACUUUCAGCGAGGAGGCGUUACUCGCAGAAGAAGCACCGGCUAACUCCGUGCCAGCAGCCGCGGUAAUAC
rnacentral:rRNA from 1 species